AACGCAUAUUGCACUCUAUAGUAUUCUGUAGAGUAUGCUUGUUUGAGCGUCAUUUCACUCUUAAACCUCUAGGUUUAGUUAUGGAGGAAGUGGGGAUACUCUUUCCACUCCUCUGAAAUGACUCGGCAGGUCCUUUAGUGGCUAUUUAUAGCUUUGGAGAAUUUAUUACUAGGUUUUACCAUUUUAAUAAAUACCUCUAAGCUAGGUUACUCUAGGUUAUCGGCCUAAUCAACUGUCAUCAUAAAUUUUGACCUCAAAUCAAGUAAGGAUACCCACUGAACUUAA
rnacentral:misc_RNA from 1 species